ACGACCUUACUUGAACAGGAUCUGUUCUAUAGGCUCGUACCGCUGCAUCCGUUACCAAUAAGGAGGUAAGCACUUCAGUCUGGUUGAUGCAUUCUCACCUCUGGGCCAGAGCGUGAUUGUUCACACUGGUGCAGGGUGGCUCAGUGGUUGUCUUGACAGACU
rnacentral:snoRNA from 1 species